rnacentral:rRNA from 1 species
AUUGAACGCUGGCGGCAUGCUUUACACAUGCAAGUCGAACGGCAGCGCGGGCUUCGGCCUGGCGGCGAGUGGCGAACGGGUGAGUAAUAUAUCGGAACGUACCCAAGAGUGGGGGAUAACGUAGCGAAAGUUACGCUAAUACCGCAUACGAUCUAAGGAUGAAAGCAGGGGAUCGCAAGACCUUGUGCUCCUGGAGCGGCCGAUAUCUGAUUAGCUAGUUGGUGAGGUAAAGGCUCACCAAGGCAACGAUCAGUAGCUGGUCUGAGAGGACGACCAGCCACACUGGAACUGAGACACGGUCCAGACUCCUACGGGAGGCAGCAGUGGGGAAUUUUGGACAAUGGGGGCAACCCUGAUCCAGCAAUGCCGCGUGAGUGAAGAAGGCCUUC